AUGCAAGAUCAGGUCGGCCUAGACCUGGACGGCUUCCCGCUCGACCACUAGUUUCCAGAGGACUACGGCCUCGACGAAGAGGAUGAGUUGGACAUCGACGGGGAGCCUUUGUUCGAGGACGAGGUCGCCAACCAAGCCGCCGGGGUGAAGCCGAAGCACAAGAGUAGGCGGACGAAGGCAUACACGAUGGCCGAGGACAAGCUCCUUUGUGAGUGUUGGAGGGACAUUGGGCAAGACCCCAAGACCGGCGGCGAACAAAAGGCAUCAACCUUUUGGACUCGUGUCCAUCGCGAGUUCCAUGAACGCAAGAAGUUUCCGUUGUAG
rnacentral:rRNA from 1 species